UCCCCACAACCAGACAACUUCUGCACAAACUGAAGUUACUGCUGGAGCAAGUGAAGAUGCUGUGGUUUCCACCCCAACACCAAAUCCCCAAAACCAAACUACAUCUGCUGGAGCUACUGAGGCCACGACUGAUGGUGACACUGAAGACCAGCUGUCUGAUUUUUUUUCAGAGGCCCCAUGUGAACAGGGAUGGACCAGUCAUGCAAAUCGCUGCUUUAGGUUUUUCUCCGACCGCCUAUCUUGGUCUAAGGCAGAGGGGUACUGUGUGAAAAACGGAGGGAAUCUUGCAUCCAUCCACAACAUUAAGGAAGCACGUCUUGUGGGGGAGUUGUCGGGGAACCGUAACUUGGCUUGGAUUGGGGGCGGGGGAUCCUCUGAGGGUUUUGUAUGGUACUGGACUGAUGGAAGUGCAUUUGACUAUUCCAAUUGGCAUGCAUGGGAGCCCAAUAACUAUGGUGGAAAUGAACACUGCAUUAGCAUCAACUUCAAAGCUGGUGGCGUUUGGAAUGAUUCUCCCUGCCACAAACGUUUCUCGUUUGUGUGUGCCAAGUAGUAAAGCAUCUCGUGUGGAGUUUACAGACUUUCACUGUCACAUAACUAAUCAAUAAACGCAUCAUUAAAAAGCAA